CCGCUGUGAAGGACGCUGUCGUCUGCCGCCAAGUCUGGGGCUGCUUUGUUUUUUCCGACACGUCGCCCGUAUUCACAUGUGACACUUUCUAGUGACGCGGAUACUAUCUCUACGCUUGCAUCCUUCGCGUGAGAUGUCGUUUGGAAACCGACGCAGCGUUCCUGACUCCAGGAAAACUUCCUUCGAAAACGUCGAUGUUGAUUUCGCACGCCUAGGAUACAGCUACAGCCAGACCCCAGACGAAGCGAAAGUUGGAAGCAGCUACAUCACUAGCGGGUAUCCAGAUGAAGCAAGGAGUGUUCAUGCUGUCCGUGUAUGCACCUCGCAUUUCACCGAUAAUGUGUACCUGGAUGAGAACAUCAUUCAAGUGCAACUUGGAUUGACACAAAAAAGGAACGAAUUGAAACUUGACGCCGUUCCGACAGUGUUCCACGAACAAAGCGAGCCAGAAACUUCGACAGUAAGUCACAAUAUCUAUGUAUAGUUUCCCAAUCGGAUCUGUCACUCUUGCGCGUGAGUAAUUUAGCAGCAAAAGACGAAAUCGGUACAACGUAAGGUGUCCCCUAACCUAUGAUUAAUAACUAGAUAAAUAAAAUACAAUAAACAAGUAAAAGAACAUUAUGUCACCUCAUUCACAUGAACGUGAUUGGCUUUUCUCGUUGUCGGACGCGUUAUCAUGAAACUUUCCCUGUUACUGAACCUGUGACUUUUGUGGAAUGUGGUAGACAUGAUUGGUUUUCAUGAGUAUUACAGCUGCAAUCAGCUCGACAGGGUCAAGCGCAAGUGGUACGUAUAUUACUUAAAUACAUAUAAUGUGUUUACAAUUUUUGGACACAGAACAAUUCGCAAACUAUGAACCCCGAUCACUAAAAGGAAGAACUGACGCUGUUUGUGUGCUGGUGUUAGAAACAGGCACUAUAUAUAUACAAGCAGUACCUCUGUCCCUAACAUAAGCGCCAUAGACCACUUCCCAGUUUCCUUUUAUCUCCCUGUUUGUGAACUGUUUGUGUGCUGCAGGGUGGCGGCUUUUGCGAUUGUCAUAGCCAACUUGAGGUGCAUUUUUGACGUUCUGUGUAAUAGAAGGACCAGGUGCUGCUGACCCAAGUCCCAUCCAUCCAUGAAACGGCAUCAAACAAUGUACGUGUGUGCACGGCAGUUUUGCUGAGAGACCUGGUUUUUACACUAUAAUGUCUUUACGAUGCCUCUGACAAAUUACGAUCUUCCAGAACAGUGCUUUCUUCAUCCAAGUUCAAGAAGUAAAGAGAAUGACUUCAUGGCUUCUACUGACAUCUCACAGCUACAUGCCAAGACAAAAUAACUUGAAAGAAGGAAAAGAAAAAAAAAGAAAAAGAAGAAAAAAGGUCCGUUUCAGGUCCACCCAAAUCUUUGUGCAGAGGCUGACAACAACAACGUUAUUGUGAGAUGAUGCUGAUGCAGCGUUGAGAUUAAGCCCUUGUUUCCUUUUUUGCAAUGCUAUACAUUACUGCUGGUUAAAUGUAAAAUGAUGCACCUACCUCCAGACAUUAAAGGGGCUACGAGAGAUCUAGUGUCAAUUCAACAGAAAAGCUGCAUGUUCUACGAGGCACUGUCACAUAAGCAUUGGCCAAAUUUGCUGUCCUGUGAGCUUUGAUAGGAUAUGCCGUAGAUAUAGUAGGAGGCCUCUUACUGUAAAAGGGAGGUGCAUUAUUCGUGCAUUAGUAGUGGGGUCUGAGGCAUGAGGGUCAUUUCAGGAUGUACUAACCCUUCCAAAAUUUUACACUUGGUUGUGCCCAGAGAUUGAUCCAGAUCCCCCCCAACACCCCGAGUUUUUUUCCUGUGUACCACUGUUACAAUGAAACCGUCCGAUUUCAUUGCAAUUGAAGUACUUAGGAAACUUUUUUUUUUUGUGAGUCCCCGCUGCAGAUCCCAAGGGACAUUGCCAGUGUGGUGCACGCUGAUAACUGUCUGUGCAUAGCAAAUAAUAAAUACCUGUGCGUGAAGAGUUGGAUGUGGACUUGUGCAAUGGCUCUUGAAUGGACAACACUCAGUCAACACAAAGAUUUAUUCACAUUUGCAUAACCUAUUGCCUGCCGUUAUAAUAAUUAUUAUAAUACAUAGACAAGAGGUAAUGCUCUGUCAAGGAUCUCUGAAUUUACAGUCUUGAAAGCUAUUUUCAAAACAGUGGUGCUAAAAAAAUUGGAUCAAUGGCAGGUAUCAAAAUUUGUUUUGCUGUAUCAAGGCAGAACAAUCUUCCGUGGGAAUGACAAAUUGUGGACAUUCCCAGACAGAUGUAUCACUUACUAUGAUAAUGAGGUGUAACUGUACCAUUAGUGAGUUAUGAAACGUUACCUGAAAUUAUUUGACGUGUUAUAUCCCUCACAUGCUAUAAUACUGUCAACGAUAAGAAGCAUUACACUACCAUUAAAAGUAUAACUGUCACUUAUGGCCAGGUAGUUUAUUGCUCCUGCCUAUUCCUUUGCACUUCUCGGGAUUACUGUGGCAACACAGAUUCUGUUUCACACUUCUCAAUUGGAAACUACGCAAGUCUAUUAUGGUGUAGGUGUGAACAGGAAAUGAGGCACACUAAAGAUGAUAGUCCUGAUAGGACCGGGAUGGAAAAACGUUGGCGAAUCAUGCAGACGACACACCCAGGUAUCUGUCGUCUGUUUCUCGGUCCAAGGAAUCUCCAAACUCAGCUUGUAAACACACAAUAAGCAGUGAACCUGACGUAGCUGUAAAAAAGAAAGGACACUUUGCUGUAUAUUUAGUUGACCAUUAUGAAGUGUUUUUUUUUGCCCAAAACGAGCACUGGAUGCAGGUUGCUUGAUCGCUCUUCCGACGUUCAAUCGAGCACACUUGCAUUUUAUCCGGCGGCAAAUACAGUUUGAGUGCAUAAUAUACUUGAAAGAACAUGUUACACUACACAGUUAGUGUUGUCACCAAUAUAUGUGCAAGCACUCGAGCGCUUUUUUGCAUGCAUUGCUAGCAUGGUACACGGUGUUCUCUGCGGAAGCAAGUGCCACAUUCAUUUCUUUGAAUUACCUUCGAGCACACGUUCGGUAUUACGUCAUAAUGAGACCACGAUUGUCACUUUUUUCAUGUAUUGGUAUUGUUUUGUGCCUUGGUUUGAUUUUUGACAAAGGAUCCUACGUAACGGUGGUGUGGUGCGACUUGAAUAACGCCUUUGUGUCUGAGCUGUAUCGCCAGCUUGUUACGAUAGUAAUAAUUUGUAGCGUGUCGUGCUAUUUGUAGCAGUUUUUAAGGCAAAAGUGGUCUCUCAAUACAGGUUUCGUCAUGAGGGCUACCCAGUGAAUAAUCUGUGCAGUGUGAUACGGCUGGGUGUACAGGUUACUUCACAGCUGCCUCGACAUACUCAAGAAAUGGGUGCAGAACCUACGUAAUGCCCACAAACUUUGACUGCCACAGCACCUCCAGAAAAUAAGGUGAUGCUCGCACAGGAUGGAAAGUUCAUGGAAAGAAUGCUGGAGAGGUGGAGUGUUCUCGAUGGCAUCACGUGGUGUGUUCUUACUCCUCUAGUACAGUGUUUCCCAAACUUUUGGCGGUGACGGACCCCCGGAAGCGAUGAGAACCAAUUCACGGAAUCCCCCCCCCCACACACACCGUCACAGCCAGUGUAUAACCAGCAACCUCGUCAGCUGCUGCGUGCUUUCGAUACAGCUUCAGAAACGAUUCCGGACUGGUUUCUUCUUGUUUGUAUGUGUAUGACGCGGACAAACGUGCAUUGCAGGACUUUUCUAUCAGAAAUGAGAAGCUAGCCGUUGAAGCAUGCUUGUAGCAAUUUUGGAAGUUCUGGGUGUUUGGAAAUCGGGCAGCAUGUACGAGCACGUGUUUGUGGGGACGAAAAUCCUCAUUGAAAUGUGAGAGACGGUCGCGGACCCCCAUGGACAGUUUUGCGGACCACACUUUGGGAAACACUGCUCUAGUAGAGGAGUCUUCUUCACCAUCAGGACCAUCAGGAGGAGAUGGCCUUCCUCAGCAUGAGUUGGCAGUGAUAGAAUGUACAAGCGAGCGCACAUUUCUGGCCCCACUCGUGGCUACUGCCGUUACAACUGACUAACUGGCACGCCUUUGCAGGCUGCCAAAGGUAAUUUUUUUCUUGCAUGUUGCCUACAUCGUGAAACACUUGGACCUUUGUGGUGGAUGACAGGAACAUAUGAAGUCCUAUAAUUUGCGGUGUUCACUCUAGAGGUGUCACCUGAUGAAGUGUGCCGCUUUCACUAUUACGAAUAAUCUUCGUCGGAUUCGUUGUCCUCAAAGUUGAUAGUUUUACACUGUUGGCGUUCAUGUGGGGCGAACAGGCACCUCUGGCAUCAUUGCUGUUGUUUGACCUCUCUCUUUUAUAGACUUAGGCUGCUCAGAUGGAAUCCUGUAGAUCAAACAUAUGGAAUGUUCAGAAUCUGGCUGUCCACUGUUGAGAUAAACCUAGUCACUUCUGAAAGGAAGAAGGCCACAAAACGAGAUGAUUUGUUCUUUCAACACAGUGCAUGAUUAUCAUUAUAUAUGUUCAGACUGACAACCACAAUGCAAUAUUUACUAGCAGCUUUUCUUUUUUAUUUUCAUGUAUAUAUAAUAUGUGCUCCAUACUGCACAAUGAUUCUCACUAGGGUUCCACAUAGCUUCACAAUGCGUAUACAAAGAGGGGAGUCAAGUCCUGUAGAUCACAUAAACAAAAUACAGAAGCCGACACUGAAGAUCUUCAGUGUCGGCUUCUGUAUUUUGUUUAUAGCUUCACAAUUUUAGUUUUUCUUUACAUCGAGCCAGGAGUGGAUUAAAAAUUGGUACGAUGUUAAUAUAAGUAGCAUACAAAAAUAUUUCCAAAUUAGGUCCACAUGAACAAAACUGCACAAAGUGAAUUGAAAAGAAUGUGAAAAAAAAAAAAAAAAUUAGAGAGCAAAAAAUAUAGCACAAGUGUACAACAUGUGGAAAGAAAACACACACACACAUAACCAGUUCUUGAAUCGCUUGACGAUGGUACCGGGAAGGCGGUUCCACUACAACGACAUACGAGGAAAAAAUGAAUUCAGAAAUGACUUCCUUGAGCAUAAGGGAAUACCCACUUUCUACGGGUGAUCGGCACAAUAUGAGAUAUAUGUAGGCUGUUGUACCAAAGAUUCUCUGAGGUGAUUAUUAUGAAUGAUAAUAAAUCUUGUCGAAACAAAGACUAGUUAUUUUUCGACAAGUGCAAAGUAGAAGCAGAUGGAGGAUAUGUUUCAUAGCAGUGAUACUGGCGUUGUAGUUACCAAAUAUGAACAGGCUGCCUUGCAUUGUACUGUUUCUAUCGAGUUUGAAAUGUUGGUGUGGUCGGUAUCCCACACAGAGCCGUGUCUUCCAACUUAGGAAAGGCUAGUGAUUUAUACAGUCACUCAUUGUGUUAGUUGGAGUGGAUGAAAAACCAGCGAUGUAACCUGGAGCUCGAAAUGCGUUGGUAGUGAUGUGUUCAACAUGAGGGAGCCAGGACAGGUUAGAUGAAAUGAAAAUGCUGAGGUAUUUGUGAAGUGAUACCCAGAGACCGUGGUGAUACUGAUUCAAAUGGAAUGUUAUUAAUGGAAUAAGUCAUAUGCACUUUAUUAGAGCGAGAAAUUAUCACAGAUUUACAUUUUGAUAAGUUGCAUGUGGCAGGUAUGAUACCACCAGAAAGCUUAAUGUGGUCAGUGUGAAGGACAUAAUUCCAUAUCAGAAUUGGUAGUAAUCUGACAACAGAUGACACAAUCAUCAGGACAAAAAUGAGGUGGAUUUACCCAGAAUUUGGUCCUUUGGGGGGGGGGUAUAUGUAUGUGACGUAUAAAAGAUGAGGUGCAGCGCGCGCAAUAAACAUAUGUUCGUUCCUCGAUUCACUGACCGCUCCGUUCCUUCGUCACAUGUACAUGCUUGUCACUCAAUAUUGUGCAAUCUCACCAGAUCUUAGGGGGUGUCCCCUCCAGAUAUUUUUUUUCUGGGAGGGGGGUCUGGAUUAAAGAUGAGCGCGGUGCAGGUAUCCGCGGGUACCCGCUCAAGUUUGUUCUUUGCGGGUACACAUUUCGGUGUCAUCGCGGUUAAGUUGCGGGUAGACCCGCACUACCUCCGCGGAUUACGCUGGUAUGCCCGCAAUACCCGCAGGCGCAAAACCAACCCGUCGGAUUUUGGUGUAUUACCCGAUUCAUGGCGAACAUUUGGCCCAAAAUACUUUCCAGACGUUCCAUAUCCAACUCGUCAUCUCAAAAUAAAGUUGUUGUUUGCCACAUAGGGUUAAGUUUGGCUAUUUUUUACACCAAGACUGGUACAUUUCGCAUCAGUAAGCUGGCAACCAUGUCAGCAGUGGCCACAGCGUACGCGUUGGAAAAGUGGCUCGCUAACGGACAGUAUCCUUAGUAGCAUCAAUAAAUCAUUUCGUGCUGUCACGAUCAUGUCACAUAACUGAAACAUGCGUACGCAUUGGGCUGCGGGUAUAUCGGCGGCUAAGCGGAUAGGCGUCGGGAUGUGCGGGUGCAGAUGCAGGUUGUGCCCCCGCGGUUGCGGUGCAGUUGCGGGUACGAAUUUUCAUACCUGCACUCAUCUCUAGUCUGGAUAAACCACUGAUGUAAGAUCAUUUGGAAGGUCGUUAAUGUAUAGUUAUGUUUCGCUUAUCAGGAUUUCACAUAUCUGGAAAACUUGCAUUACCGAGAACGAGCCUGCUACCAUAGGACUUGGUCCAGGUUACCCUGGAAGAAGACCAACUUUCUGAGACAUUAGCAGGUUGACUCAGUGCAUGCUGUGGGUGUGACCAGAAUUCUGUCACACAUUACUAUGAAUUGCAAUCAGCUCCCUUUGCAUGAUUUUUUAAAGUAACAAUCUUUUUUGUUGUUUCUUUUUCUGGAGCUAUAAAGGAGAUUUUCAAACUUGUCGGGUUCUCCCAGAAAGGGCUAAAGAUGGGACUGUUUGGUGGCAAUUACUUUCAAAUUGGUAAAAAUUCAUGUGCCAGGGAACAAACAAAAAAGGCACAGGGAGUAGGCGUGGGUAUCAAAUUUAAGGUUUUGCCGGAAGCUUGCUUGGUUCAGUUAUCUGGUAUCCAGAUGAAAACGGACGACUACAGAGGUGUCUGGAUAAUGAAAAAUGACUGUAUAUGAGAAAGAGAAGUGGUCCAAGGACAGAAUCUUGGCGAACUCCAGAGAGGACAAGCGUUAGACUGGAUUCAUUAUCGUUCAUAGAGACAAACUGUGAGCGAUUAGUCAAGGAAUGUAUCCAAGAUAGAAUUUUAUCAUCAAUGCCAAGAUUGUGCAAUUUAUGAAAAAAAGAAAGAAAAAAAAAAGAGAGAGUGUGAUACGUUAUUGGAUGCCUUCGAGAAGUCAAGAAAUCUGCAGUCGGUGCAGAACGUGUGAUCCAGUGUAACACUAAAGUCAUGAGCAAAGGAACUAGCCGCGUUUCACAACAAUUGUUUUUUUCUAAUACCGCGUUGAUAUGGAGAGGAGGAGGAACAGAAUUUUAGGUUUUAGAUAAUGUGCGCUAGUAUUGUACAUGAAAUUAUGGGUCAAUAAUUGCUGCUUCUCUUGCACAAUGCUUGUCUCCUGACAACAUCAGCAAUCUGAUGCACCAGCAUGCCUUCUGCUGAACUCCCCCUUCCAAUUUUACACUUUCUUUAUCUAUGAAUUCUAAGUCCAUAAAAGUAUCUGAUGGUUUGAGCCCAGUGUGUGUGUGGUUAACUUUCUUUUCUUAGCCAAACUCAAGUGCAUCUUUCUACAUGCACUGGUGUGCCUCAUAUUAUUUUCUUCAUGAACUUACCUUGAAUCUGUGUGAGGUAGAAAUAUUUUUAGCAUUGGAAAGAAACAUUGACAAGUGGUCCAAAGAUUUGUCACUAGAAUGUGCAAGUUUAGUGAUGAUUGCUCCAGACCGGAGCCGUAUUUUCAAAAUGUGGCCACUGAAUAAUGUAAAAUAAUGUGUAAAAUAUAAUAUAAAAUAAUGUUUUUCACAAUCUGUGAAUAAAAUAAUGAAGUGAAUGAGGUGAAAUUGAUUUCUGGAAUGCUUCAGAAUAGCUACAUAUAGUACAUUGACUUAAAUUGCAUCUCGGUGGAGGAGAAAUAUUUGUACCUAACAUCGGAAAGGGACAUGGGCAAAUGCUUCAGAAAUGGGCAUUGAGGAGA